CUGUGGCCAUUGGUCCUUAUUUCGUGGAUUCCGGGUAGUAUGGAGACACCUGUGCCGGUAGGAGACAGGGUGAUCGGUCCAGACUUUAGGGCUCUUCAUGGUUUCAUUUGUGCGUGGAGACUCUGCACUUGAGGGAGCUGGCCCAGAGUGCAUGAUGACCGGAGGUCUCUCCUUAUUGCUGAAGUCACUGUCUACCGAGUCUGACUACCAUCACCUGAGAAGAUCGUGCACCUCUAAUUGCCAGUGCCAAUUUGCUUCUAAUUAGUCAAAUGCUAGCAAUUAGCUUGUUAAGUUCAACCCGGCUCUGGUGUUGAGGUCAUUUUCUUGAUUUUGCCUCUUUUCUGGGUCCUCGUGAACACCAGGGGCUGUCUGGAGACUGCAGUCGGCCUGUUUGCCUCACCUGAACCUGGGGCUAUGUCACUGCAGAUAUGAAAGGACAGUAGUGGGGACACACAGCUGUUUUGGUAGAUGAUGACUGCAGUGCUCAGGGACCUGCUAGAGUCACAGAUAGGCAGGGAAUCCAGGCUUCUCUUUUUCCAGUCCCUCUGACAUUUUUCAUCUCUGGGGUGGGAGUAGUCCACUGUGGUCCUAGGAUGCAAAAGUGGUUUUCUUUUUAACUUCCCCAAGUCAGGGUCCCACAAUAUUGUUAAAAAAAAAUUCAAGGUCUUACAAGGGAGCAGGAGAUGGGCAAAUGACUGUUCUGAGUGAAUCAUAUUCUGUAGCAGUGGUGGCUCUCAGCCAUUUUUUCUUAUUUUUUAAAAUACUUAUUUAUUUAAUAUACAUUCGUACACUAUAGUUGUCUUCAGACACACCAGAUCUCAUUACAGAUGGUUGUGAGCCACCCAUGUGGUUGCUGGGAUUUGAACUCAGGACUUUGGAAGAGCAGUCAGUGCUCUAACCACUGAGCCAGCUCUCAGCCUUCCUAGUGCUCUGACUCUUUAAUACAGUUUCAUGUUGUGCUGAUCCCCAGCCAUAAAAUUAUUUUUGUUGCUACUUCAUAACUGUAAUUUUGCUACUGUUACGAAUUGUAAUAUAAAUACCUUUGUUUUCCAAUGGUCUCAAUUGAACCCUGUGAAAGGCUUAGUUGACCCCAAAGGCAUCACAACCCACACUUUGAGAACCACUGUUCUAUAGCGUGGCUCAGAAAGAGACUCCUGUUAGGUGAUCCUCACAGGUAAAGAUUUUCCCAAAUAGUUUCAGUACCCUGGGAAGUUUCUUUAAAUCUCUGGGUUUUAGAGUCUGGUGUGAUAGUGCAUCCCUCUAAUCCCAACACUCAGGGGGUUUCAAGUUCUAGGCCAUCCUGGACUACAUACCAAGAUGCUGUCUCCAAAACACAAAACAGAAAACACCUCUGGGUCUCGGUUCUAAGCUAUCCUGCAAGAACACGAAAGACCUCUUCCUAGAGGUGAAGAUGAAGCAUAGUGUGAGUGAUGAAUCAGCCUCCAAAUAAUCAUUUAAUGUCUAAAAAGUCUAGUAGCCAAAGCCAGGUGCGGCAGGGUGGGAGAGGGGUGGAGUAAGCCACUCAAGGGGUUUCAGGAUGUCAGUCUGUCCAUACCUUAGCUUUGUGACCUUGUGCAAGUCCCUGGAUUUCUCCAAGUUUUGGUGGCUCCAUAUGCAAAGUGAGAUAACACACUUGUACUCCAUCAAGGUAACUUUACCAAUAACACCCAGAGUGUGACCAGCGUAGCAAGAACUAGAGAGUACACGUAGAGACACUUAUAUUGCGAAUACGCUGACUUCUGCGCGUGUUGGGAAGAGGGGAAUCCUGAAUCAGGCUGACCAGCAGCCGGUGGCUACUCAGUCUGAGAAACUGUUUCUUGUGAGAGGUGACAGUGACAGUGAAAAAAGUGGUGGGUGGCUUGGCAAGUGAAGGGGUUGCUCCCAAGGCUAGGAAUCUCAGGUCCAUACCUGGGACCCACGUGGUGGAAGAAAGAAAACUGACUCCUGCCUUCUAAGUUAUACAUGCACACUGUGACAUGUGUGAAAGAGAGCGUGCGCUCGAGCACACACACACACACACACACACACACACACUCUCUCUCUCUCUCUCUCUCUCUCUCUCUCUCUCUCUCUCACACACACACACACACACACACACAAAUAAAACCUAAAAGGUUGGCUGACAGGGUUCUACAUAGUGAGCUCCAGGCCAACCAGGACUAGAAGAGACCCCC
rnacentral:lncRNA from 1 species